UACGAAGGGGGCUAGCGUUGUUCGGAAUUACUGGGCGUAAAGGGCGCGUAGGCUGUGCUGUAAGUCAGGCGUGAAAGCCCCGGGCUCGACCUGGGAAUUGCGCUUGAUACUGCGGCGCUGGAAGGUGGGAGAGGAUGGCGGAAUUCCCAGUGUAGAGGUGAAAUUCGUAGAUAUUGGGAAGAACACCGGUGGCGAAGGCGGCCAUCUGGCCCACAAUUGACGCUGAGGCGCGAAAGCGUGGGGAGCAAACAGG
rnacentral:rRNA from 1 species